CAGCAGCCGCGGGAAUACGUAGGUCCCGAGCGUUGUCCGGAUUUAUUGGGCGUAAAGGGAGCGCAGGCGGUUUAGUAAGUCUGAAGUUAAAGGCAUUGGCUCAACCAAUGUAUGCUUUGGAAACUGUUAGACUUGAGUGCAGAAGGGGAGAGUGGAAUUCCAUGUGUAGCGGUGAAAUGCGUAGAUAUAUGGAGGAACACCGGUGGCGAAAGCGGCUCUCUGGUCUGUCACUGACGCUGAGGCUCGAAAGCGUGGGUAGCGAACAGGAUUAGAUACCCCAGUAGUCCCUGUCUCUUAUACA
rnacentral:rRNA from 1 species